AGUCCCCGCUGAGACUGAGCAGACGCCUCCAGGAUCUGUCGGCAGCUGCUGUUCUGAGGGAGAGCAGAGACCAUGUCUGACAUAGAAGAGGUGGUGGAAGAGUACGAGGAGGAGGAGCAGGAAGAAGCAGCUGUUGAAGAGCAGGAGGAGGCAGCGGAAGAGGAUGCUGAAGCAGAGGCUGAGAUCGAGGAGACCAGGGCAGAAGAAGAUGAAGAAGAAGAGGAAGCAAAGGAGGCUGAAGAUGGCCCAAUGGAGGAGUCCAAACCAAAGCCCAGGUGAGUGGGGAGGCACCUGGGUAGAGCCGGGAGCAGAGGCUCAGGGAGAGAGGAUGAUGAUGGAACAGGGUGCAGUAUGGUGCAGUGGACACGGGCUGGGGGUUUGGUGGGCACAGAGCACCACAGUACAGUUGUACAAGUUGUGUACUGCACAAGCGUCUCUUCCUAAGGGAGUGAGUGAGGGCUGAAUUCCACCCAACACUCCAUCACCAAUCGUGCACCCUAGCAGGGAUGGGGCUAUGUUCUUCUAGAGGAAGGGCCCUGAACAGACACUCUCCUCUCUCACAGUAUGGCCAGAACACCCUCCUCCAUGGCCGAGGUGGGACCUUGGGAUUAAGGGAAGCAGAUUGUGGGGAGCCAAACAAUGAAACCGUGCCAGCAUAGGCAUGGCGGCUUCAGAGAGCUGAGAGAGGGCAGGGUGGCUUGGUGCCACACACGUGAAGCCCACCUGAAGGUGGUGUGUGCUGGGGGGGCUGGGGGAUAGGGAGCAUUUCCCUUUUUAUGAUGCCAACCCUGCCAGCAGAGGUUGACCCAUGGCACCUCUGCCCACUCACAGGCUCUUCCCAUUUCAGUGGGGCCUUCUGAAACCAGCCCAAGACAUCCCAGAUCCAUUUAUUUGCCCAGUGCCUUCCCCCUUCCUGGCUUCUUGUGCACUGCGGUAUCUCAUUUCAGCUCCACACACCUGAGGGCAGAUGGGGACAUGAAGAAUCAGAGAACCCCCUGGGUCUCAGUAUGUGUUGGGACCAGGACCAAACUGCAAGACUCCCAGGUUCAUGGCGAGUUUCUGCGGGGUCCACCAGGGGAUUUGGAGUCCAAGAAGCAUGGCAUCUUGUCACAGCUUUUUUGAUUCCAAGUUGUGUGGCUUUGAGCAAGUCAUUCUACCUCCCUGAGCCUCAGUUCUCCUAAGUGAGAUUAACGGUACCCACUUCAUGGGCAUAUCAUGAGCAUGAAGUGAAAUAGCGUAUGUGAAAGAGCUUUGUGUAUUCCCAGGUGCUGAGCAAGGCUGAAGACUGCCAUUGUUGACGUCAGUGUUACUAUCAUUGCUGUGGUUGGUCGGGGCAGUGCUGGAAGAUUCUCUAGGAAGGAUCAGGGCCCUGCCUGUCCUGGACACCCUCAGUCCCUGGGUCCAGAAUGGGGCUGAUGCUCACUGACUAUUCCUCUCUCCAACAGGUCGUUCAUGCCCAACUUGGUGCCUCCCAAGAUCCCCGAUGGAGAGAGAGUGGACUUUGAUGACAUCCACCGGAAGCGCAUGGAGAAGGACCUGAAUGAGUUGCAGGCGCUGAUCGAGGCUCACUUUGAGAACAGGAAGAAAGAGGAGGAGGAGCUCGUUUCUCUCAAAGACAGGAUCGAGAGACGCCGGGCAGAGCGGGCCGAGCAGCAGCGCAUCCGGAAUGAGCGGGAGAAGGAGCGGCAGAACCGCCUGGCUGAAGAGAGGGCUCGACGAGAGGAGGAGGAGAACAGGAGGAAGGCUGAGGAUGAGGCCCGGAAGAAGAAGGCUUUGUCCAACAUGAUGCAUUUUGGGGGUUACAUCCAGAAGCAGGCCCAGACAGAGCGGAAAAGUGGGAAGAGGCAGACUGAGCGGGAAAAGAAGAAGAAGAUUCUGGCCGAGAGGAGGAAGGUGCUGGCCAUCGACCACCUGAAUGAAGAUCAGCUGAGGGAGAAGGCCAAGGAGCUGUGGCAGAGCAUCUAUAACUUGGAGGCAGAGAAGUUCGACCUGCAGGAGAAGUUCAAGCAGCAGAAAUAUGAGAUCAAUGUUCUCCGAAACAGGAUCAACGAUAACCAGAAAGUCUCCAAGACUCGCGGGAAGGCUAAAGUCACCGGGCGCUGGAAAUAGAGCCCAGCCUCCUUCACCAAAGAUCUGCUCCUCACUCGCACCUGCCUCCGGCCUGCACUCCCCCAGUUCCCGGGCCCUCCUGGGCACCCCAGGCAGCUCCUGUUUGGAAAUGGGGAGCUGGCCUAGGUGGGAGCCACCACUCCUGCCUGCCCCCACACCCACUCCACACCAGUAAUAAAAAGCCACCACACACUGACUGGCA
rnacentral:sRNA from 1 species